rfam:Aedes aegypti strain Liverpool supercont1.23 genomic scaffold, whole genome shotgun sequence.
UUAAAAGUUUUUUUAAAAACUACCUAAAGCAAUAAACCAGUACUUU